rnacentral:lncRNA from 13 species
GUAGGUUCUGUCUGCCCAAGACCCGUAAUAUACUGUAGAGUAGGUGCUGUCUGACCAAGCCCCUUAAUAUACUGUAGAGUAGGUGCUGUCUGACCAAGCCCUUAGUAAACAAUAACUAAAAAGAGCCAUGACACUGUCUUAUCAACUCCGCUCCUCGGAUACACACACACACACACACACACACACACACACACACACACACACACACACACACACACACAGAGAAGGGGGGACUGAGAGACACGUGCGCUUACCAUGUGAGUACGUCCUCAACCUGUCAGUGUGGGUGAUUACUGUUCUGUUCCCUCUUACUUUUCCCUUACUGUAAGACAACACUGGGUCUAUGUACCGCAGCAUCCAAAUAUAUGGCUGGAAAUAGCUCAUUACUAGAUUUCCUCUGAAUUGAUAGUGGCGUUGUGGACAAAUUGCUUCAUAACUUUUCAAAAUGAACACUUGUUCAAUCAGACAAACCAUUAUGGCACAAAGCUUUAUCAAUGCUUUACUGCACAAGAAAGUCAUUGGGUAAGACCACAAUGGCUGAGCAGUAUGAGUGAAGAGGCAGGCAGAAACGGUGUAGAGAAGAUCAGUGUUCAGAAACAAAUGACAUUUUGGGGCGUUUGUCUUCGUGGGCCGGUCUCCAUUGCAUGUAAAUGGAAAACCAUUUUGCACUGCCUUCUCUUUUAUGGCCUUUGUCUCCCGCCAGAGAGUUGUUUUCUCAUCCUCUAAUAGUUUUCUUUAAUACAGAUGAAGAUGUUUUAUGCCUGUCUUUCUCAUGAUAGAUUACUGGGCACUCAUUCCUAUUUCUCUGAUUUGAGUUCUCUGUUGUGGUGUAUAGGACUGUCUUUACUGUUGUUGUGGUGUAUAGGACUGUCUUUACUGUUGUUGUGGUGUAUAGGACUGUCUUUACUGUUGUUGUGGUGUAUAGGAUUGUUGUUGUGGUGUAUAGGACUGUCUUUACUGUUGUGGUGUAUAGGACUGUCUUUACUGUUGUUGUGGUGUAUAGGACUGUCUUNNNNNNNNNNGUGAGCAGGAGGGAUCAGGGCCCUGCAUCUUCUGCGGCAGCCUGGUGAGAAGAAAACCCGUUUUAGAUCACCUGACCUCUAACUUUAUGAUUGUUUUAUGUUUCCCCAGUAAGUUAUUAGAAUGCAUGUUACUCAUACAAAUUCAAUUUGGCCUCUUAGAGAAGUAUUUUCCCCUGGUUUCGCAUGUUCUUUUAUGAAUUAACCAGGUAUGCACCAAAGAGGAGCAAGAGAUUCUGCAACGAGACUCCAACAAAAGUCAGAAACUGCGCAAGAAACUUAUGGGUGAGACAAGCCACCAGUAGUAUCUAUCUACAUAGCAUAUUAGAGAGUUGUUGAAGUCGGAAGUUUACAUACACCUUAGCCAAUUACAUUUAAACUCAGUUUUUCACAAUUCCUGACAUUUAAUCCUAGUAAAAAUUCCUUGUCUCAGGUCAGUUAGGAUCACAAAGAAUGUGAAAUGUCCGAAUAAUAGAGAGAAUGAUUUAUUUCAGCUUUUAUUUCUUUCAUCACAUUCCCAGUGGGUCACAAGUUUAUAUACACUCAAUUAGUAUUUGGUAGCAUUGCCUUUACAUUGUUUAACUUGGAUCAAACGUUUCAGGUAGCCUUCCACAAGCUUCCCACAAUAAGUUGGGUGAAUUUUGGCCCAUUCCUCGUGACAGAGCUGGUGUAACUGAGUCAGGUUUGUAGGCCUCCUUGCUUGCACNNNNNNNNNNNNNNNNNNNNNNNNNNNNNNNGGGUGUGGGGUUGUUAACCCACUGUUCCUAGGCCGUCAUUGAAAAUAAGAAUUUGUUCUUAACUGACUUGUUAAAUUAAAAUAAAAUGAAAACUUACAUGCCAGGCAAGACACCCUAUACUUCUCAUAAGGUAUAUUUAUUAUUAUUCUGAGUUUAUAACUCAGUAUUCACUCAAUCCUCACUGAGGGAAACCAGCCACUGGAAAAAUAUUCAUGAAAAGCUCCAGCAGUUGGUCAUCAAGCAAAUUCUUAUUCACCUUUCAGAAGUCAGGCUUCAGUCUCCAGAUUACUCUGAUUUAUCAUUCAGUGCUAAGAGAAUCAUAUUGAACAUCCUAUUUCCAUCUCUCAGAACCUGGCUGAGUGCUGACUGUUGGCUUCGAGCUGUAUAAGGCAU